AAAGCAUAGUUCAUUUAUGCAUCACAGGAGCCAAACACUUGGAAAACUAAAUAGUGUUACACUGCCUGAGAGGACAUGUCUUACUUCUUUUAUAGGCAAAACCCAGAGCUGUCUCCCAAGUCUGUAAGCCUAGGUAGCCCGGAAGUUAUAGAACUAAGGUUAAAGCAGAAAGCAAGGUUUCUUGAGGCAAUCUUCUCCACAGGAUUAGACCCCUAGUAGCAGAAGUGAGUUGGUGAACAUGGGCAGUCAGGCCAUCAGCUUCCUCAGGGUGUCACUACUGCGUCAAGGACAGUCCGUCCCACUUCCCUUGAAAAGACAUUUAACAUUCAAAUCUUGACAGAGUUCAUUUGAUGAUAAAUUCUAAGCUCAAAUUUUAUUUCUACAAAAAAAAAGGCAAUCAAAACAAUAUAAAACACACUGAAAGGAUAUUGAGUGAGCUUCAAGUGGAGCCGGACUGGAAAGGUUUGGAGUCCAGAGGGAGGGAAAAGCCACCCUGUUCCUGGGCUGUCCCAGCAGCUGCUCUGAGAGAGGCAGAGCCAUCGUGGCUGACCCCGCUGAGGGUAAGCCGUGAGGAGGGUGGCAGUGGUGGCCUGCUGUGCUCAGGAGUGGGAGCUCUCCUUGGCACAUCCUAUCAGAGCUUGGUGGUAGAGAAGCUUGAAAUUUCAAAAGAAUAUUCUGGCCUUUUUUUUUUUUUUUGGUCUGUGAUGACCAGACAUCACUAAGCUGGAAUGGGGUGCGUGAGCUACUCAUUACCCACAGGCAGUGUUGGCACAGGAAAC
ensembl:antisense Gm15648 predicted gene 15648